GGCGAACGGGUGAGUAACACGUGAGUAACCUGCCCUAGGCUUUGGGAUAACCCUCGGAAACGGGGGCUAAUACCGGAUAUGACCUCCUGUCGCAUGGUGGGGGGUGGAAAGUUUUUCGGCCUGGGAUGGGCUCGCGGCCUAUCAGCUUGUUGGUGGGGUGAUGGCCUACCAAGGCGACGACGGGUAGCCGGCCUGAGAGGGCGACCGGCCACACUGGGACUGAGACACGGCCCAGACUCCUACGGGAGGCAGCAGUGGGGAAUAUUGCACAAUGGGCGGAAGCCUGAUGCAGCGACGCCGCGUGAGGGAUGACGGCCUUCGGGUUGUAAACCUCUUUCAGCAGGGACGAAGCGCAAGUGACGGUACCUGCAGAAGAAGCGCCGGCCAACUACGUGCCAGCAGCCGCGGUAAGACGUAGGGCGCGAGCGUUGUCCGGAUUUAUUGGGCGUAAAGAGCUCGUAGGCGGCUUGUCGCGUCGACCGUGAAAACUUGGGGCUCAACCCCAAGCCUGCGGUCGAUACGGGCAGGCUAGAGUUCGGUAGGGGAGACUGGAAUUCCUGGUGUAGCGGUGAAAUGCGCAGAUAUCAGGAGGAACACCGGUGGCGAAGGCGGGUCUCUGGGCCGAUACUGACGCUGAGGAG
rnacentral:rRNA from 1 species